UACGGAGGAUGCGAGCGUUAUCCGGAUUUAUUGGGUUUAAAGGAUGCGUAGGCUGGUAAUUAAGUCAGUGGUGAAAUACUCCGGCUCAACCGGGGGGCUGCCGUUGAUACUGGUUACCUUGAGUUUAGAUGAUGUGGGCGGAAUGUGUCAUGUAGCGGUGAAAUGCAUAGAGAUGACACAGAACACCGAUAGCGAAGGCAGCUCACAAAGCUAUUACUGACGCUGAUGCACGAAAGCGUGGGGAUCAAACAGGA
rnacentral:rRNA from 1 species